GCAGGGGGAGACAGCUCAUAAUUACUGAAUACUUACAAACCAGGCACCAUUCUGAGUAUUUUGCAUACACUACCUCAUUUACUCCUCACAGCAGUCCUGUGGGAAGGUGCUGUCACACCAUCUUUCAGAGGAGGAGCAGAGGUGUUUGAUCAGCAGCCCAAGGUCAGCAGCGAGUCCUGGGUUCUUCUGGAUCCUCCCUGAGUCCUCGAUGGCACUGCACCAGCAGAGAGGGCCACUGGGUCCUCCUAGAAACUCACUGCUUGGUUUUUAAGCCCAGAUUCUUACCUAUUUGUGUUAUGGGGUAUCGUUUGCUCUUAGCCAUGUUGUUGGUUUGUGUUUGAUCUUCAUUCUCAGCCUUUGCCCUUUUGGUGGUGGUGCCCCUGCUGCGGGAGUGUGGGCCCCCUGACACCCACUGGUGCACCCCCUCCCCCUGCAGGCAGCACUGCUCUCCUCCUCCUGCUCUGCCUCCAGCACUCCUUCCCGGAGCCCAGCACCCUGUACCUGGACCUCAUUCUGGCCACCCUGGCCCUGGAGCUGCUCUGUUCCCUGACGUGCCUGCUUGUGUACACAGUGAAAAUUCGAAAAUUUAAUAAAGCCAAACCACAGCCUGAUGUACUAGAAGAAGAAAAAAUCUAUGCUUACCCCAUCAAUAUGACCUCAGAGACGGGAUUCAGGACUCUCUCAAGCCUGGAGGAGAUUGUGGAGAAGCAGGGGGACAUCAUCCUGUACCUGAAGCGCCACAAUGCACUGCUCAGCAGGCGGCUAUUGGCCCUCACGACUUCUGACCUCAGCUCUCAGCCAAGUGGGAUUUGACAGCAACUCUAGAGGAGCCCGAGUAGUUUAAGACUGACUGCCUGCUCUUAAGACUGAAUGCCUGCCUGACAAGCUGUCCCAGCGAACUGCAGCUUUGCCAAGUAACAGUCUACAAUUGUUGUUGGAAACCUGAACUUGGUUCUCACCUGCUUGGACGUUUAAUAAGCAGGACCCGUGGAGUGUUUAAAGGGUACUUUGUAGAGCCUUUCUAACUCAAGGGGAAGGUCUGUUUGCACAUUUGAAAUUAUUGCACUGCUUGGUUUAUUCCAGGAUCAAAGGUACAGUUUAAAUAUCUCUGAGCAACUCUCCUUGCAUCCUCCUUAGCAGCCAGUAAUCAUUUGGUGUUUUAGAGAGGAAGUCUGACCUGACAAGCUGUUUAAAGUGGGGCUUUGAUCAAAUGAGGUUUUCCCACUUUAUCCUGGUGAGUGAAGACAUUCUUUCUCCUGGUUAGUGUUUUCUCCACUGAGGCCAGGUGGAUCUUAUAUGUGUGUGUGGUACCGAGUGACCUUGGCCCUUGGAGCCUUUCUAGUGAAUUUCCUCACUAUAGGACCAAGGUCCCCAUAGGGGAUUUUCUUUGCACCUCCUGUGGGUUUCCAUUCUCCAGAAAUAAGACUUGAGGAUCACUUGCACCAGUGUUAGGCCGACCAGUGCUGCUGUGACAGCAGCAGCGCCUGCCACUGGCAGCAGCUGAAAUACUUAGGGAAGACUUCAGGCUUUAACUUUCCUUUGGCCCUUUUUCAAGACAUUGCCGUGUAUUUCAUAUUGACUGGACUGUCAUUGGAUCAAUAAGUUCAGGGAUAGGAAAGGAGUCUUUAGUGGCUUUAAGUUUGUCUGAAAGAUAAAAGAACAACAGUAUUUAGUCCUGGAGUACCCCCCUUCCCCCCAAAAAAACAAGGAAUUCCUGUUGUGGGUCAGUGGUAAGGAACCUGACCAGUAUCCAUGAGGACGUGGGUUCAAUCCCUGGCCAUGCUCAGUGGGUUAAGGAUCCUAAGCUCC